UACGUAGGGUGCGAGCGUUAAUCGGAAUUACUGGGCGUAAAGCGUGCGCAGGCGGCUUCGCAAGUCAGACGUGAAAUCCCCGGGCUUAACCUGGGAAUGGCGUUUGAAACUACGGAGCUGGAGUGUGGCAGAGGGAGGUAGAAUUCCACGUGUAGCGGUGAAAUGCGUAGAUAUCGAGAGGAACACCUGCGGCGAAGGCGGGUUGCUGGGCUGAUACUGACGCUGAGGCGCGAAAGCUAGGGGAGCGAACGGG
rnacentral:rRNA from 1 species